UUCCUAUACAUGCAAGUCGAACGAACUCUGGGUAUUGAUUGGGUGCUUGCAUCAUGAUUUACAUUUGAGUGAGUGGCGAACUGGUGAGUAACACGUGGGAAACCUGCCCAGAAGCGGGGGAUAACACCUGGAAACAGAUGCUAAUACCGCAUAACAACUUGGACCGCAUGGUCCGAGCUUGAAAGAUGGCUUCGGCUAUCACUUUUGGAUGGUCCCGCGGCGUAUUAGCUAGAUGGUGGGGUAACGGCUCACCAUGGCAAUGAUACGUAGCCGACCUGAGAGGGUAAUCGGCCACAUUGGGACUGAGACACGGCCCAAACUCCUACGGGAGGCAGCAGUAGGGAAUCUUCCACAAUGGACGAAAGUCUGAUGGAGCAACGCCGCGUGAGUGAAGAAGGGUUUCGGCUCGUAAAACUCUGUUGUUAAAGAAGAACAUAUCUGAGAGUAACUGUUCAGGUAUUGACGGUAUUUAACCAGAAAGCCACGGCUAACUACGUGCCAGCAGCCGCGGUAAUACGUAGGUGGCAAGCGUUGUCCGGAUUUAUUGGGCGUAAAGCGAGCGCAGGCGGUUUUUUAAGUCUGAUGUGAAAGCCUUCGGCUCAACCGAAGAAGUGCAUCGGAAACUGGGAAACUUGAGUGCAGAAGAGGACAGUGGAACUCCAUGUGUAGCGGUGAAAUGCGUAGAUAUAUGGAAGAACACCAGUGGCGAAGGCGGCUGUCUGGUCUGUAACUGACGCUGAGGCUCGAAAGUAUGGGUAGCAAACAGGAUUAGAUACCCUGGUAGUCCAUACCGUAAACGAUGAAUGCUAAGUGUUGGAGGGUUUCCGCCCUUCAGUGCUGCAGCUAACGCAUUAAGCAUUCCGCCUGGGGAGUACGGCCGCAAGGCUGAAACUCAAAGGAAUUGACGGGGGCCCGCACAAGCGGUGGAGCAUGUGGUUUAAUUCGAAGCUACGCGAAGACCUUACCAGGUCUUGACUACUAUGCAAAUCUAAGAGAUUAGACGUUCCCUUCGGGGACAUGGAUACAGGUGGU
rnacentral:rRNA from 1 species